rnacentral:rRNA from 1 species
UGGUAUGCACUGGCUUUACUGAUUCCUCCUUCUUGACGAACCGUGAUGUCAUUAAUUUGGUGUUGCGGGAAAUCAGGACUGUUACUUUGAAAAAAUUAGAGUGUUUAAAGCAGGCUAACGCUUGAAUACAUUAGCAUGGAAUAAUGAAAUAGGACGUUAAUCCUAUUUUGUUGGUUUCUAGGAUCGACGUAAUGAUUAAUAGGGAUAGUUGGGGGCAUUAGUAUUCAAUUGUCAGAGGUGAAAUUCUUGGAUUUAUUGAAGACUAACUACUGCGAAAGCAUUUGCCAAGGAUGUUUUCAUUAAUCAAGAACGAAAGUUAGGGGAUCGAAGACGAUCAGAUACCGUCGUAGUCUUAACCAUAAACUAUGCCGACUAGGGAUCGGAUGAUGUUAAUUCUUUAAUGACUCAUUCGGCGCCUUACG